rnacentral:rRNA from 1 species
UACGAAGGGGGCUAGCGUUGUUCGGAAUUACUGGGCGUAAAGCGCACGUAGGCGGACUAUUAAGUCAGGGGUGAAAUCCCGGAGCUCAACUCCGGAACUGCCUUUGAUACUGGUAGCCUAGAGAUCGGAAGAGGUGAGUGGAAAUUCCCAGUGUAGAGGUGAAAUUCGUAGAUAUUGGGAAGAACACCAGUGGCGAAGGCGGCUCACUGGUCCGAUACUGACGCUGAGGUGCGAAAAGCUAGGGGAGCAACGGGGGAUUAAGAAACCCUUGUAACGUC